rnacentral:lncRNA from 1 species
GACGUCAGUGGUGGUUGGAGCUACAAGUGGAGUCUGGUCCACAGUCUGAGUCCUGAGUGGGAACUUAAUAUAUGUGACACUGACAUACAAUCCAGCUCUCCACAUCAGUGGGACUGUCCAGAGAGGAGCAGAUCCCUCAGCUCAGAGAGGCACGGUGUGGCCCAAAGAGAUAUGACCCGGUUGGACCCGUCCAAAGCUGAAAGCUCCUGGAUGGAUGAGAGGAGGGGCAGGGACAGGUCCCGCCAGGCAUCAGAGUCCAGAGGAGACAGGGAACAAGAGAGUGGCUACUUCUCUCCAGAGAGAAGAGGUGAUGGUGAGCGGCAGAUGGAGGAAGUAAAGCGGUUUUAUCGUUACUACGAGAGGGGGCAUCCUCUUCCCAGCAACUAUGUUCCUGAGCCCAAAGCUUGCGUCCCCUACAGAAAUGUUAACCUCGGCAUGCCCUCUGAGAGGAGGAACCCAGAGACGUAUAUGCAGGAAAUGUGGAGAAGUGAAUCCCCGGAGAGGUACACGUACCACUCCAACUUUAGACGAGGAGCUGAUUCACAGAAUAAUUCACCGACACGUCACAGCUCGGUGAGCCCAGAUCGCUACAAGUUAACUGAAUCUCCUGUGGAAAGCCAGAGAAAAAGCUC